GACGAACGCUGGCGGCGUGCCUAAUACAUGCAAGUUGAGCGCUGAAGGUUGGUACUUGUACCAACUGGAUGAGCAGCGAACGGGUGAGUAACGCGUGGGGAAUCUGCCUUUGAGCGGGGGACAACAUUUGGAAACGAAUGCUAAUACCGCAUAAAAACUUUAAACACAAGUUUUAAGUUUGAAAGAUGCAAUUGCAUCACUCAAAGAUGAUCCCGCGUUGUAUUAGCUAGUUGGUGAGGUAAAGGCUCACCAAGGCGAUGAUACAUAGCCGACCUGAGAGGGUGAUCGGCCACAUUGGGACUGAGACACGGCCCAAACUCCUACGGGAGGCAGCAGUAGGGAAUCUUCGGCCAUGGACGAAAGUCUGACCGAGCAACGCCGCGGGAGUGAAGAAGGUUUUCGGAUCGUAAAACUCUGUUGGUAGAGAAGAACGUUGGUGAGAGUGGAAAGCUCAUCAAGUGACGGUAACUACCCAGAAAGGGACGGCUAACUACGUG
rnacentral:rRNA from 1 species